rnacentral:rRNA from 1 species
CCUACGGGGGGCAGCAGUGAGGAAUAUUGGUCAAUGGGCGCAAGCCUGAACCAGCCAUGCCGCGUGCAGGAAGACGGCCCUACGGGUUGUAAACUGCUUUUAUGUGAGGAUAAACCUAGAUUUGCGAAUCUAGCUGAAGGUAUCACAUGAAUAAGGAUCGGCUAACUCCGUGCCAGCAGCCGCGGUAAUACGGAGGAUUCGAGCGUUAUCCGGAUUUAUUGGGUUUAAAGGGUGCGUAGGCGGGCUAAUAAGUCAGCGGUGAAAUCACUCAGCUUAACUGAGUAACUGCCGUUGAUACUGUUAGUCUAGAAUAUAAAUGGUGCAGGCGGAAUGAAUCAUGUAGAGGUGACAUUCAUAGAUAUGAUUCAGAACACCGAUCGCGAAGGCAGCUUGCAAAGAUAUUAUUGACGCUGAGGCACGAAAGCGUGGGUAGCGAACAGGAUUAGAUACCCCAGUAGUC